AGAGCGGCGGACGGGUGAGUAACGCGUAGGAAUCUACCUGGUAGUGGGGGACAACAUUCGGAAACGGAUGCUAAUACCGCAUACGCCCUACGGGGGAAAGGAGGGGAUCUUCGGACCUUUCGCUAUCAGAUGAGCCUGCGUAGGAUUAGCUAGUUGGUGGGGUAAAGGCCCACCAAGGCGACGAUCCUUAGCUGGUCUGAGAGGAUGACCAGCCACACUGGGACUGAGACACGGCCCAG
rnacentral:rRNA from 1 species